ACAAUAACAUUAGGACCGUCGGUCUACUGAGCAAUAUCACCUGCUCGGUGGAAGAUCUUCCCUCCGUCGUUAUA
rnacentral:pre_miRNA from 1 species